GCAGGCUGNAACCCGCCUGCAUGAAGUUGGAAUCGCUAGUAAUCGCGGAUCAGCAUGCCGCGGUGAAUACGUUCCCGGGCCUUGUACACACCGCCCGUCACACCAUGAGAGUCGGGAACACCCGAAGUCCGUAGCCUAACAGCAAUGGGGCGCGGCCGAAGGUGGGUUCGAUAAUUGGGUGAAGUCGUAACAAGGUAUC
rnacentral:rRNA from 1 species